rnacentral:rRNA from 1 species
AGUGAACGCUGGCGGUAGGCCUAACACAUGCAAGUCGAACGGCAGCACAGUAAGAGCUUGCUCUUACGGGUGGCGAGUGGCGGACGGGUGAGGAAUACAUCGGAAUCUACUUUUUCGUGGGGGAUAACGUAGGGAAACUUACGCUAAUACCGCAUACGACCUACGGGUGAAAGCAGGGGAUCUUCGGACCUUGCGCGAUUGAAUGAGCCGCUGUCGGAUUAGCUAGUUGGCGGGGUAAAGGCCCACCAAGGCGACGAUCCGUAGCUGGUCUGAGAGGAUGGUCAGCCACACUGGAACUGAGACACGGUCCAGACUCCUACGGGAGGCAGCAGUGGGGAAUAGUGGACAAUGGGCGCAAGCCUGAUCCAGCCAUACCGCGUGGGUGAAGAAGGCCUUCGGGUUGUAAAGACCUUUUGUUGGGAAAGAAAAGCAGCAGGUUAAUACCCCGCUGUUCUGACGGUACCCAAAGAAUAAGCACCGGCUAACUUCGUG